GACGAACGCUGGCGGCGUGCCUAAUACAUGCAAGUAGAACGCUGAAGGAGGAGCUUGCUUCUCCGGAUGAGUUGCGAACGGGUGAGUAACGCGUAGGUAACCUGCCUGGUAGCGGGGGAUAACUAUUGGAAACGAUAGCUAAUACCGCAUAAGAGUAGAUGUCGCAUGACAUUUGCUUAAAAGGUGCAACUGCACCACUACCAGAUGGACCUGCGUUGUAUUAGCUAGUUGGUGAGGUAACGGCUCACCAAGGCAACGAUACAUAGCCGACCUGAGAGGGUGAGCGGCCACACUGGGACUGAGACACGGCCCAGACUCCUACGGGAGGCAGCAGUAGGGAAUCUUCGGCAAUGGACGGAAGUCUGACCGAGCAAGGCCGCGUGAGGGAAGAAGGUUUUCGGAUCGUAAAGCUCUGUUGUAAGAGAAGAACGAGUGUGAGAGUGGAAAGUUCACACUGUGACGGUAUCUUACCAGAAAGGGACGGCUAACUACGUG
rnacentral:rRNA from 1 species